AGUUAGCUUAUUGUAACUAAGAUCAAGUCUUCUCAAGCUUGUUAACUCAUUCAUCGAAUUUGGUAACCCAGAAAUCAAAUUAUGAGAAAGAUCAAGAGAAAGCAGAGAUUUUAAAGAAGUAAGCGAAGGUGGGACUGACCCAGAAAAUGAAUUGAGUCGAAGAACCAGGUUCUUGAGAUUUGGUAAAGAAGACAGAGAAGAAGGAAUUGGGCCAUAGAAAUUGUUGUUCUGAAGAUCAAGAGUAACAAGUUGAGUGAGUUUAGAAACUAACGGAGAAAGAGUCCCUGUGUAACCAGCAGGAUCAAGCGUAAGUUCAGUUACUCUGUUUCCAGAGCUACAAGAAAGGCCACAGGUGAAAUGGGUAACACGAGGAACAGAGCAAGGGUCUGUAGUGAAAUUCCAAGAACCUAAACAAGAAUAUGAAGGAAUAGAGGAAGGUUUAAUUGCGGCUUUAAAAGCUCGAAGAGCAAGUAUGUCUGUAGAAGGAGGAAUUGAUUGAACUGAUGAAAGUAAAAAAAGAAAGAGAAAGAAGAAAACAGAGGUUCUU
rnacentral:misc_RNA from 1 species